GGGUAAGUCUUAUACGACCAGCUCCCAUUUAACUCCCCCAGGUCAGGAAUGAAGCAAGGGUACAAUGGUUGUAGCGGUGCGAUGUAAGUAGCUUACCCUUU
rnacentral:SRP_RNA from 1 species